rnacentral:tRNA from 1 species
GGAGAGGUGGCUCAGUGGUUAAGAGCACUGACUGCUCUUCCAGAGGACCCGGGUUCAAUUCCCAGCACUCCCA